UGUUAUAUCAAUGGUUUUUACCUUUUAUUAAAUAGAUUAGAUUAUUUUGACUAGACCAGGUUACUGGGAUUUUGGCUUAUUUUUUAAAGGUUACCAUUAUUGAUCAAGGUAAAGUUGUUUGUGUGUUGGUUAGGCUUCAAUGUUCACAUUGAUUCUUGUCUUGUUUUUACUUCUGCUAUUGUUGACUCUCUCGACAGGAAAAUCAUGAGGUUUUGUUUCUGGAUUUUUCAUUAUCACAUCAUGCAUUAAUACAGGAUCAAUUGUGAUUAUAACUGAUUAUGAUUAUAAAAUGAAUAUCUUAUGAUAUAUUGGUUGCAUGUUUGGUUGAGAUGUUGUUAAAGCCUGAUUAUGUCGUUGAUGUUUUUAAGGUUACCCAUGAAUUUGUCAGUUAUAUCUUUUCCAGUGUUUAUCAUGUUUAGUUAUUUUCAGGUAACUUUUAAUCAGUUUUAGUUAAAUUGAAUACAAAUUAGAUUUGUUUUAUUGAUUGAAAAAUGGUGAAAUUGCUGUUCUUACGAUUAAUUGGAGGUUGGUUGAUUCGCAAAUGUAAACAAACCAGAAUUUAAGGAAAACCUUAUCACAAUGGGAAAUUGUUUUUCAUUAAAAAUUGUAUAAUUACUGAACAGUUCAUCAGCUAUUAACAUUAUUGACUUGACAAGAUGUAAAUGUAUACUAUUAAUCUAAUUAUCUAACGUCAUUUAAAGUAAAAAGCCUUGGAAAUUGGUUGGUAAAGCUGAUGAAUAUUAAUGUCUCAACUGCUAAAAAAAGGAAACCAGGAUUGGGAAAAAUUGGACAAUACUUAUAUUUGACAACAGUAGUUAAUGGUUGGUUUUGGUGACCUAAAAAUAACAAUUGAUUAAAAAAUACUGGAAAAGCGCAGGAUAAAUGUUGCUCAGUUAAAGUGUAUCAAAAAAUAUUGAUUAUCAACUGUGGCAUUAAAUUAUAUUUUUAGAGGUAAAUUAUUCAACCUAAAAGUAAAUCUCAUAUAGGACCAGUUACUCUUUACUCUGGUAAUGUCAUUCAAUACCUUAAUUUGGAUUUAACUGGACAAGGACAAUAUUAUACAGAAAUGUUGGUUAAUUGGAUUGAAUUGCUUCAGCAAUGUGUUUUAUGGUUACCUAUUUUUUUUAAUCAAGACUAAAGAUUAGGUAUUUUACUGUUA